CAUUGUGCGGGCGGGGGCGGGGGGAGCGUGGGGCCGCGGUAAACAAACCGAGAAGCUUCGGCGGGGGCAGAGAUGUAGUAUAAAACGUUAAUGGAUGUCCAGGGCGCGCCGUUUCCCCGGCUGCCGGCCAGAGGUGCUAGGGAAGCGCUGACAGGAGCCCGGGAGAGGAGGAUGCACCGUCCCCUGCCUUGGAAAGGGAGAUUAUUUUGAAUUGUCUAAGUGGACCAAUGUCACAAGGAUCCUGCAAAGUAGAAGAGGAGGGCAGAAGGCAUCAGAGUGAGAGGAGAAGAGGACUCAGCUUGCCCUGGUUGGCUUUGAAGAUGGAGGAAGGAACAAUGGGCCAAGGAAUGCACAGCUUCUAGAAGCUGGAAGAGGCAAGGAAAAGGCUUCUCCCUUAGAGGCUCCAGAAAGGAAUGCAGCCCUGCUAACACCUGGACUGCUGCCCCAUGAGACCCAUCUCAGACUUCUAGCCAAUACUGCAAGGAGGAGUUAAGAGUCAGAAGAAGGUGAUGUGAUGACAAAACCAGAAUGGAAAUGAUGAGCUUUGGCAAUGGAGGAAGGAGACACAAGCCAACAAGCACAGGCAGCCACAAAUGACAAAAAACAAUCAAACAACAACAGAAACAAAAAACCUGCCAGCACCUUGACUUUGCCUCAGUGAAAUGGAUUUUGGACUUUUGACCUCCAGAACUACUAGAAAAUAAAGUUGUGUUCCCCAGAUUUCGUUGAGGAAUGGAAAAGAUAGGUGAAGAGCAUCACAACUGCCUGGGAAACAAGAGGGGGAACUUUCCAAGGACCAGAAAUUGUGACAAAAAUGCCUGCAUGACAUAGGACCAGAUCCUGUUGGUUCUGUUUCUCUGGAGAAUUUUACUACAAGGCAGAAGAACACAUUCUUCGAGCAAAGAAAAGACUGAACGGAGAGGAAUGAAAAGAUCUGCUCUUAAAUGAAGCUGAGGCUGUGUUGAAGAACUAUACUGGACAAUACUGUGUGUCAGAUGGAAAGGUCUGAGUGAUUGCAGGGAGGCUGAGUAUGUUCUGGUGUUUUUACCCUCCUUGUUAUGCCAGCAGCCAACUUCCCAUAUUUCUUUUCAUCAGUUUUUUCCCAUCAAAUCUGCUUCAUCAUAGAAUAUAGAACUGGACCUGUGUGGUUUUUCAUAAGUAGCCUCCAGAUUUGCUUCUCCCCAUGACUCUUUACAAAGGCUGGCAUCUUGUAAGGAUAACUCCACACCAUCUUAAUUUCUUAAUAUGACUAAUCUCUUCAACAAUUUUACAUUUUCCUCCAAUUAGUUUGUCAAGUUGUAUAGUGAGCUUCCCUCCUUCCUCUACAAUGCUUUCUGUUUUGUUUUUUGGUAUUUGUUUGUAAUUGUAAAAUACACUUUACCAUUUUAAUCA